rnacentral:rRNA from 1 species
UUACGUUACCAGCACGUUAUGGUGGGCACUCUAAGGAGACUGCCGGUGACAAACCGGAGGAAGGUGGGGAUGACGUCAAGUCAUCAUGGCCCUUACGGCCUGGGCUACACACGUGCUACAAUGGUCGGUACAAAGGGUUGCCAAGCCGCGAGGUGGAGCUAAUCCCAUAAAACCGAUCGUAGUCCGGAUCGCAGUCUGCAACUCGACUGCGUGAAGUCGGAAUCGCUAGUAAUCGUGAAUCAGAAUGUCACGGUGAAUACGUUCCCGGGCCUU